rnacentral:rRNA from 1 species
AGGAUGUGGAAUUGCACAGACAACCAGGAUGUUGGCUUAGAAGCAGCCACUCAUUUAAAGAGUGCGUAAUAGCUCACUGGUCGAGUGAUUAUGCGCCGAAAAUAACCGGGGCUAAAAUCAGAUACCGAAGCUAAGGAUUAGUUUUACUAGUGGUAGGGGAGCAUUGUGUAAAGGGUGAAGCCGAAACGUAAGUAUCCGGUGGACGUUACACAAGAGAGAAUGCUGGCAUGAGUAGCGAGAGUAUAGUGAGAAUCUAUACCAUCGAAAACCUAAGGUUUCCCGGGCAAGGUUCGUCCCCCCGGGGUUAGUCGGGACCUAAGGCGAGGCCGAAAGGCGUAGUCGAUGGACAACUGGUUGAUAUUCCAGUACCGAAUAUGUUUGUUUGAGAGAUGGAGUGACACAGAAGGAUAAGUUAUCCCAGCUGUUGGAUAUGCUGGGUCAAGUAGUGAGGGUGUACGGUAGGCAAAUCCGCCGUGCAUAAGCCUGAGCUGUGAUGAGUACCGAAAUUUCAGUAGGGAAGUAACUGAUUUCACGCUGGCAAGAAAAGCUUCUAUCGAGAACAUGUUCGCCCGUACCGUAAACCGACACAGGUAGGUGAGGAGAGAAUCCUAAGAUGAGCGAGAGAAGUGUUGUUAAGGAACUCGGCAAAAUAACCCCGUAAGUUCGCGAGAAGGGGUCCCUGUGAGAGCAGGGCGCAGUGAAAAGGUCCAGGCGACUGUUUACCAAAAACACAGGUCUAUGCAAAAUCGAAAGAUGAAGUAUAUGGGCUGACGCCUGCCCGGUGCUGGAAGGUUAAGGGGAUCUGUUAGCGCAAGCGAAGCAGUGAACUUAAGCCCCAGUAAACGGCGGCCGUAACUAUAACGGUCCUAAGGUAGCGAAAUUCCUUGUCAGGUAAGUUCUGACCCGCACGAAAGGCGUAACGAUCUGGACACUGUCUCGACAACACACUCGGUGAAAUUGUAGUACCGGUAAAGAUGCCGGUUACCCGCGACCGGACGGAAAGACCCCGUAGAGCUUUACUAUAGCUUGGCACUGAAUUUCGGUAUUGUAUGUACAGGAUAGGUGGGAGACUUAGAAACUAGGACGCCAGUCUUGGUGGAGUCGUCCUUUGGAUACCACCCUUAUAAUGCUGGAAUUCUAACCUGAUACCGUAAUCCGGUAUAGGGACACUGUCAGGUGGGUAGUUUGACUGGGGCGGUCGCCUCCUAAAGAGUAGCGGAGGCGCCCAAAGGUUCCCUCAAAAUGGUUGGAAACCAUUUAUUAGAGUGUAAAGGCAGAAGGGAGCUUGACUGCGAGACAUACACGUCGAGCAGGUACGAAAGUAGGGCUUAGUGAUCCGGCGGUUCCGAGUGGAAGGGCCGUCGCUUAACGGAUAAAAGCUACCUCGGGGAUAACAGGCUUAUCUCC